UUUGUGCCCGCCCCCAAUCCCGUGGGCCUUUGCGUGAAAGUAUUUAAGCGUCUCGCGUCGUUUUAUUCGGUCUCAUUUUUCCUUCCAGGCUCCGGGUCAAGACGCACAUUCGCCACACAACAAUCGAAGACAGCCCUCUGGUUGGAGUGUGCCUUAGCUCAAAGAUGUGUGGUGUCUGGAGAAUGCACGGAGAUCAUUCCUGCGAUUACAGCGAUCCUCCAUGUAGAGAUCGAACCCAGGGGCACUUAACCAGUCCUAUUUUUGUCUACGCAUCUCAUGACCUAUCCUGAGGAAUUUGAUUAUCCCCAAGAGUAAAUGCAGGUUUUCCUGAUAACGACAUAUUUUCCCAUUUUAUGGAGCAACUCAUUUCUACAUACUGCUGAAAAUACUCUGCUCAGCAUUAGCAGGUGCUGUUACCAAUAUCUACUUACUGGUUCAAAGGUCUAGCAUCUUGUCUGGAACCCAGGAGUUAUUUGAGAGAAAGCAAGUCAUGUCUGCCUAACUUCAACCUGAAGUUAAAGGUAAGUGGACUAAGGUGAAGGUAAAGUACAGUAAGCUAAAAAUUUCCCAAUGAAGAAACAUUUCACACGUCUUACUUCCUGUCCUAGUCCCAGAGCCUGUAAAGGUGAACCCACUGGGGCUGGCUGGGGGAGAAGAGGAAAGCUUGUUCCAGAAGGAACUGUCUGAGGGAUGAUCAGAAUUUCUAUAAAUGGAAAAUGGAAGAAUGAUCAGUUAGAGAUCAAACUGUUUUUGUUUUCCCAUCCAGUAAAGAUUCUUCUUUCCUCAGCAGGCAUCCAUCCAAGUCUUGGAGGACAUCAGAUUUCCAGAUCUUUUCUUGUGCAUCCUAGCUGUUCAAGUUAACACACAAUCAA